rnacentral:rRNA from 1 species
CCCGGGCCUUGUACACACCGCCGUCACACCACGAAAGUCGGCAACACCCGAAGUCAGUGGCCCAACCCGCAAGGGAGGGAGCUGCCGAAGGUGGGGGUUGGUGAUUGGGGUG